GGGUUGUGAGGUUAAGCGACUAAGCGUACACGGUGGAUGCCCUGGCAGUCAGAGGCGAUGAAGGGCGUGCUAAUCUGCGAUAAGCGCCGGUAAGGUGAUAUGAACCGUUAUAACCGGCGAUACCCGAAUGGGGAAACCCAGUGUGAUUCGUCACACUAUCAUUAACUGAAUCCAUAGGUUAAUGAGGCGAACCGGGGGAACUGAAACAUCUAAGUACCCCGAGGAAAAGAAAUCAACCGAGAUUCCCCAGUAGCGGCGAGCGAACGGGGAGGAGCCCAGAGCCUGAAUCAGCAUGUGUGUUAGUGGAAGCGUCUGGAAAGGCGCGCGAUACAGGGUGACAGCCCCGUACACAAAAGCGCAUGUGCUGUGAGCUCGAUGAGUAGGGCGGGACACGUGGUAUCCUGUCUGAAUAUGGGGGGACCAUCCUCCAAGGCUAAAUACUCCUGACUGACCGAUAGUGAACCAGUACCGUGAGGGAAAGGCGAAAAGAACCCCGGCGAGGGGAGUGAAAAAGAACCUGAAACCGUGUACGUACAAGCAGUGGGAGCACCCUUCGGGGUGUGACUGCGUACCUUUUGUAUAAUGGGUCAGCGACUUAUAUUCUGUAGCAAGGUUAACCGUAUAGGGGAGCCGGAGGGAAACCGAGUCUUAACCGGGCGUUAAGUUGCAGGGUAUAGACCCGAAACCCGGUGAUCUAGCCAUGGGCAGGUUGAAGGUUGGGUAACACUAACUGGAGGACCGAACCGACUAAUGUUGAAAAAUUAGCGGAUGACCUGUGGCUGGGGGUGAAAGGCCAAUCAAACCGGGAGAUAGCUGGUUCUCCCCGAAAGCUAUUUAGGUAGCGCCUCGUGAAUUCAUCUCCGGGGGUAGAGCACUGUUUCGGCUAGGGGGCCAUCCCGGCUUACCAACCCGAUGCAAACUGCGAAUACCGGAGAAUGUUAUCACGGGAGACACACGGCGGGUGCUAACGUCCGUCGUGAAGAGGGAAACAACCCAGACCGCCAGCUAAGGUCCCAAAGUCAUGGUUAAGUGGGAAACGAUGUGGGAAGGCCCAGACAGCCAGGAUGUUGGCUUAGAAGCAGCCAUCAUUUAAAGAAAGCGUAAUAGCUCACUGGUCGAGUCGGCCUGCGCGGAAGAUGUAACGGGGCUAAACCAUGCACCGAAGCUGCGGCAGCGAACGUAUCACCCAAGACAACUUUACGGAGUUGACGAUUGACGGAGCGAAGCGACGUCAAAGCGUUCAUUAAAGUCGAGUUGGCUUAGGGAUACGUUCGUUGGGUAGGGGAGCGUUCUGUAAGCCUGUGAAGGUGUGUCGUGAGGCAUGCUGGAGGUAUCAGAAGUGCGAAUGCUGACAUAAGUAACGAUAAAGCGGGUGAAAAGCCCGCUCGCCGGAAGACCAAGGGUUCCUGUCCAACGUUAAUCGGGGCAGGGUGAGUCGACCCCUAAGGCGAGGCCGAAAGGCGUAGUCGAUGGGAAACGGGUUAAUAUUCCCGUACUUGGUGUUACUGCGAAGGGGGACGGAGAAGGCUAUGUUGGCCGGGCGACGGUUGUCCCGGUUUAAGCGUGUAGGUGUGUGUUCCAGGUAAAUCCGGUUCACUUUAACACUGAGGCGUGACGACGAGGCACUACGGUGCUGAAGCAACAAAUGCCCUGCUUCCAGGAAAAGCCUCUAAGCAUCAGGUAACAUCAAAUCGUACCCCAAACCGACACAGGUGGUCAGGUAGAGAAUACCAAGGCGCUUGAGAGAACUCGGGUGAAGGAACUAGGCAAAAUGGUGCCGUAACUUCGGGAGAAGGCACGCUGACACGUAGGUGAAGUGAUUUACUCAUGGAGCUGAAGUCAGUCGAAGAUACCAGCUGGCUGCAACUGUUUAUUAAAAACACAGCACUGUGCAAACACGAAAGUGGACGUAUACGGUGUGACGCCUGCCCGGUGCCGGAAGGUUAAUUGAUGGGGUCAGCGCAAGCGAAGCUCCUGAUCGAAGCCCCGGUAAACGGCGGCCGUAACUAUAACGGUCCUAAGGUAGCGAAAUUCCUUGUCGGGUAAGUUCCGACCUGCACGAAUGGCGUAAUGAUGGCCAGGCUGUCUCCACCCGAGACUCAGUGAAAUUGAACUCGCUGUGAAGAUGCAGUGUACCCGCGGCAAGACGGAAAGACCCCGUGAACCUUUACUAUAGCUUGACACUGAACAUUGAGCCUUGAUGUGUAGGAUAGGUGGGAGGCUUUGAAGUGUGGACGCCAGUCUGCAUGGAGCCGACCUUGAAAUACCACCCUUUAAUGUUUGAUGUUCUAACGUGGACCCGUUACCCGGGUUGCGGACAGUGUCUGGUGGGUAGUUUGACUGGGGCGGUCUCCUCCUAAAGAGUAACGGAGGAGCACGAAGGUUGGCUAAUCCUGGUCGGACAUCAGGAGGUUAGUGCAAUGGCAUAAGCCAGCUUGACUGCGAGCGUGACGGCGCGAGCAGGUGCGAAAGCAGGUCAUAGUGAUCCGGUGGUUCUGAAUGGAAGGGCCAUCGCUCAACGGAUAAAAGGUACUCCGGGGAUAACAGGCUGAUACCGCCCAAGAGUUCAUAUCGACGGCGGUGUUUGGCACCUCGAUGUCGGCUCAUCACAUCCUGGGGCUGAAGUAGGUCCCAAGGGUAUGGCUGUUCGCCAUUUAAAGUGGUACGCGAGCUGGGUUUAGAACGUCGUGAGACAGUUCGGUCCCUAUCUGCCGUGGGCGCUGGAGAACUGAGGGGGGCUGCUCCUAGUACGAGAGGACCGGAGUGGACGCAUCACUGGUGUUCGGGUUGUCAUGCCAAUGGCACUGCCCGGUAGCUAAAUGCGGAAGAGAUAAGUGCUGAAAGCAUCUAAGCACGAAACUUGCCCCGAGAUGAGUUCUCCCUGAGACUUAGAGUCUCCUGAAGGAACGUUGAAGACGACGACGUUGAUAGGCCGGGUGUGUAAGCGCAGCGAUGCGUUGAGCUAACCGGUACUAAUGAACCGUGAGGCUUAACCUUACAACGCCGAAG
rnacentral:rRNA from 2 species